AUGAGUGGCACCGCUGGAGCUGCACCCCCGACAGCCAUACUCGGCUUGGGUUUGGACCUCAGUGGGCCGUGGCGCCAGAGGGCCGUGCAGAAGAGCAGAGCUUUGGUUCAGACGUACCUGCUCACCAGCUCUGUGCACCCUCCACCCACAGCCGGAGGCAGCAGGGAGACCAGGACCCCUCUGAGGCUGCCCUCGCUGGUCUCUACAGCCAAAGGGCCUCGCAGGCGAAGCAGCAUGGCUCGUCUCAGCCUCAGUGAGCCGUCUCUCCUCACACCAAACGAGAACAUCCUAUUCGAGGGAUUCUCCAGCAACCGUCGCCCCAGUGUGUUACAGAAGCGACCCCCACCUCCUCCUCCUCCUCCUCCUCCUCCUCCUCCAUUUUCCAAGUCAUCGGUCCUGCUCCCCUGCAAGAGCUGCCACCCGUCCAGGCCCAGCCAGCACCAUCAGCAGCAGAACCACCAGCAGGCCCAAAGCUGCAGCAGACCGGCCUUUAUUCACUUCUCUCGGGCCAUCCAGCCCAGCUCAAAGCCAAAACCAGUGAGGCGUCAUUCACACAACCCAGUCCUGACCACAGAGAUGGUACAAGGUGACCUCCGACCUUCGCUGAUGCACCAUCGCAACUCACUGUCUCAGGGAGAGCCUUUGUCUGUCGUCGGGAAGCCCUGUCUUCCGAGCUGCGGUCAACGCCCCGCUGUGGCUGCUGCCGCCGGCCCGGCUCGCACUCAGCUCCACGUGUUCCUGCCCACGGAGGCUGAAGGAGAGGAAGUGGACAGUGAAUCUGUGGAUGAGGGUUUCAUGGAUGAGUUGGACAGUAAGAUAACGUCUCUAAAGCUCCAGCAGGGAGCUCUGAAGACAGUUACAUACCACUAAUAAGGCAAUAAAACAAUGAAUCCUCUGUUGUUGUGCUGUAUGGCUAAAAGUACAUGUAAAGCCCUGUCUGCAUUCAUUUUGUGUAUUUUGUUUCUAGGGUUGUUUUUUUUAUGAUUUGGGCUUCAUUUAUUUGUUUAAAUCAAAGGAAAACAAUCAUAUUUCAGACAGUAGUUUCGGGAACCCUUUCCCUUCCUGUGCACAAAGCCAGAUCCAUAUAGAAACGGUUUCUUGAGUUUGAUGUGGGAUAACUUGACUGGGAGCCUCUGACCUCACCCCUCUUUCAACACCUUUGGGAUAAGUGUCAGUGUUAAACCUCGUAGUGCUCAUAUGGCUGAAUGGGAACUAAUCUCUGCAGCCAGCUUCCCCCGAGAAGAGUGGAGCAACAGAUCCAUGGGUGUCCACAUACUUUUGGCCACAUACUGUAUGUCUUUUAAUGCAGCCUCCAUCUAAAUCUGCUCAAAGACGAUGUGUUGAUGUGAAUCUAUGCUGGAAAAAAAGAACCUGGGAUACAAAAUAAAAACAUGUCAUGCAGAUUAAUAAGCUACUUAUAUGAUAAUUAAUUAUAAAUAUGCCUCAUAUAUAUGAAUGGUUUCUUAUUAAUGGUCACUGUUACAUUGAGAUUGUUAAAAGACUCCUUGUUUUAUAAGUAAGAAACACAAUAAUAUAUACAGUUACAGUUUUCAGCCUAAAAAUAAGGACAUUUAUUUUACAUCUCACAGUCGUAAAUGUAAUUUCUGGUAUAUUUGGUAUUAAUGUAAUAUAAUGUAAUAUUUUUGUAUGAUUGCUGCCCUGUUCAUGUUUAAGUCAAGAGCUUGCAGAGUUUGGCUAUUAAAGCGUUUGUUAAUGUAAAUUAGGGCUGCACAAUAUGGUAAAAACAUCAUAUUGUAAUUAUAAUAAGAUUUACGAUUAGUGGAAAUUAUCAUUUUUACAUCACAUAUUUAAUUUUCACAGCUGGGCUGCUUGUUUGUGUUGAUAAUAAUCAUAAUAGUAAUAAGCUGAAUAAUAAAUCUACCUUUAUAAAACAGUUUCUGAGUUUGCAGUCAGUUCUUAUAAUUAUAUAUAAUUAUAAUUGAACAUUGUCACAUAGUAUAGUAAUGAAUCUAUAACUUCACCAGAACUUGAUUUGUGUUGUUGUGCUAAAUGUAAUUAUAACAUGAUUACAUGUAGUUGUUUUCAAAGGAAUAUUUCUGUACACAAACUUAUUUUAUAGCAAUAUUUAUUAACAAUUGUCUACGACUGUCUUGUUAGAGAGGCUCUCUCAUGAUUGGCAAAACACCACAGCUGAGCACAAUUUAAUUUACUUUAACUUGCAAUAAACUAUUUAAAUGAUUUAUUUGUUUAUUUUAAGCAGAAAUUCGGUUUCGACUCGGGUUCAAAUCUUUGUUUUUUUUAUGAACUAAUGGUUUUCAGUAUGUCAUAUUUUAGACUCUCUGAACUACUUGCUUAGAUCUUGAUUAAACCUCCUUUAAGUGAAUUAAAUUUGACCUAUAUUUUAGAUUUUUUGUUUUGUUUUGGUAUCCAUUGAUGAUGCCUGUUAUUUGUAGAAGCUUAAUAAAGUUUAAGAAAAUGUGGAUGUCUCCUUCCUUAGUGUUCCUGCUCAUGUAGGAGUGGUAGGAACACAAAACCUGGCAGGAAUACUGGGACUCAGUGACGCUGGAAGACCUUUAUAUCUUUAUAAUCUAUAGAUCUUUACAAUAUACAAAAACAUGUAGGCGUCAGUGGAUUACAGAGCAGGAG
rnacentral:lncRNA from 1 species